rnacentral:lncRNA from 1 species
GGAGCUGCAGGCCGGUAUCAGAGCCCGUAUCAGAGCAGAGUGGCCCCUGAGCGGGGAGGCAGCUGGAGCUCACUGUUGGAGGAGGGCCCGGCACCUGCACCUGAGGACAUGAGUCUGAGGCCUGCGGAGAAGCCAGACCUUCACCUGGGGCUCUAACACCGAAAGUCUGUGCCAGACAGAGGCAUCCACAGCGACAGGAGCCUGGGCCAGGGCGGCCAUCCCUGCUGCAGAGACAAAUGUCAGUG